AUUAACACAGAGAAGGCGAAAGUGCAGGUUGACAGGAAAGCCUGGCUCUCCCCUGACUCAAUUCAGGAGAUCAUUAAGGACGAAGUCUUGCUGUAAAGUACACCUCUCUUCCUCCGAUGACAGUGACAACCAGGGCGCUGAAUCAGGGGCAGCCUGCUCUCCUUUGACAAACACCCACCCACUUUGGUAUGGAAUCUCGGCGUAGGCAAGCAAAUGGCUAGUUAGUACCACCGGAUCUCUGUUUUGUAAGAUAUCUCACUUCAGUCAAUUAAUUAGCAUAUGAGGAUCUCGCUUCUGGUUUCAACCAGUUGCCAUCUGUGCCUCCAUAAAUGCAAUGGCCACUAUGCAGACGUGAUCAGGGCUUUGGACCACACCACAAAGACAAAGACCCUGAGAAUC
rnacentral:lncRNA from 1 species